GACGAACGCUGGCGGCGUGCUUAACACAUGCAAGUCGAACGGAAAGGCCCCUUUGGGGGUACUCGAGUGGCGAACGGGUGAGUAACACGUGAGUAACCUGCCCUUGACUUCGGGAUAACUUCAGGAAACUGGGGCUAAUACCGGAUAGGAAUCCUUGCUGCAUGGUGGGGGUUGGAAAGCUUCGGCGGUUUUGGGUGGACUCGCGGCUUAUCAGCUUGUUGGUGGGGUAGUGGCUUACCAAGGCUUUGACGCGUAGCCGGCCUGAGAGGGCGACCGGCCACAUUGGGACUGAGAGACGGCCCAGACUCCGACGGUAGGCAGCAGUGGGGAAUAUUGCACAAGGGGCGGAAGCCUGAUGCAGCAACGCCGCGGGCGGGAUGACGGCCUUCUGGUUGUAAACCGCUUUCAGCAGGGGCGAAGCUUGUGGUGACGGUACCUGCAGAAGAAGCACCGGCUAACUACGUG
rnacentral:rRNA from 1 species